AGCGUUGUUCGGAAUCACUGGGCGUAAAGCGCACGUAGGCGGAUGUGUCAGUCAGGGGUGAAAUCCCGGAGCUCAACUUCGGAACUGCCUCUGAUACAGCACGUCUUGAGUCCGGAAGAGGUGGGUGGAAUUCCUAGUGUAGAGGUGAAAUUCGUAGAUAUUAGGAAGAACACCGGUGGCGAAGGCGGCCCACUGGUCUGGUACUGACGCUGAGGUGCGAAAGCGUGGGGAGCAAACAGG
rnacentral:rRNA from 1 species